AUUUGCGACAUUUGAGUUGCGACCCUUACACAAAAACUGUCAUCGUUCCACAUUUGAGACGAUUGCCACGACGGUCAAAAACAAGUGUCGUAGCUUUUUAAACCAAAAAAGAACGUAUCACUUGCCAAUGAGGUCCACGACGGUUGCUGAACCGCCCUCUCACCUUUGUUGGGACAAUUAUACAACAGCCGCAUUCUUCCCCCUUAAAAUUUCGCUACUCGCAUUUGCCAACAUUGUGUUUUCCAUUUCCCUCCUUCUUAGUUUCAGACUACUAAUAAUUUCCAAACCCUAUUUUCUCUAAAAUCUCAAAUUCACGUUUCUCAAACUCGUAUCUCAAAAUCCUCUUGUCUCAGAAAACUACAUAUCCAUAAUCUGUCUUUUCAAAGAACCAUGAAGAUUAGGACACAAUUAGUUUCAACAAAGAUUAGUUCACAUCCUCAUUCAUUCAUCUUCGAUGAAUAUUAGGUCACAUCUUUAUUCGAUCAGCUUCAAUUAGGUCUCAAUUUCAUUCCGGGUUGAUUUCACCCAAAUUCCAUUACAAUCAAGUUUGAUUUCAACCAGCUCCUUAUGAUGGUAAUUAAUGAAUUAAAUUCUUCAUUAUUAUUUACUAACAAAUCUUACUUAUCUUAUUGAGUUAAACAGGUGUGUUCCAUAUCUAAAUCUGUUUUUCCAUCGACAGAGUUAUAAAGCUGUCUAUUCCAAAUCUGUAUGUGUGGCUAUGGUUUUGGCUACUAAGAAACUGGGUUGUUUUAUUUGAGAUAGAAAACAUGAAAAAUAUAAAAACCCUAGAGAUUCCUCUGAUAUUCGGGUUGAGGAUCUUAUUAGCUGGAUGACUCUUGUGGAGAAAAUUGGUCAAUGUUACAGGUAAAACUAAUGACUUUUUUGGUUACUUCAUUUUCUAAGGUAUUAUAUUGAUUCAAUUAGGUACAAUGGAAAAUACUUGUCUUUUGGUUAUUGGUUAGGGAGUGUUAUGAGUGAGGGAUGAAGUAUUUCAAUUCCAUAUAUUUUUGCAGAAAACUAGAUUUAUAUGUUAAAUGAAUAUUAGGAGGAUACUUUAUCAACCAGGCUUGGAAUUCCAAAUUUUUAUGGGAUUGAUUCUAUUCAUGUCCAUAACUCUGUUUACAAAGAAACUGAUUUUCCUCACAAUAUUGGCCAUGGAGAUACCAUGUAAAUGUAUAAAUGUUUAUUUGUUGGUAAUGUUUGUUUGGAGCUAAAUGUGAUUCAUGCUGUGUGGCUAUGGUUAUUGUUGUGUGACUUGUUGGUGAAUGUUUGUUUAUGUUAGAUUAACUAUAGCUUCUACCAAGUCAUACUUUUAUCAUUGAAGCUAGGAAACAAGCUUUGAGGAACCAAAAUUCCCUUGCUUUGUUUUCCAACAUUGAGGUGAAUCCGCAGCCUGAUGAGAAGAAUGAAAGAAGCAUAAUUAAUGAAAUUAAGAUGAAAGAGUUGGGGAAGAAAUUAGUUGAAGUUAGUACCGAGUGUAGUAUUGUUUCUAGGCGAGGAGGGCAUCUGAAUUUGGUAUUUGUGGUGAGCUGAAAGUAUAUUUUUGUUUGUUGAACAUUGAUCUUUGUUUGCCCAAAUUAUGUGUCUGUUUUCUGUUAAAUGUUUGUAUAGGCUUCACUGCAGCUGGGAGGGACCAUUACUUUUGAACAUCAAAAUUUGCAAGGAAUAAAUAGAUAAUCCACGGAACCGAACUCUCUGUGUAAGCUGCUUCAAUAGUCGAAAGCAGAGUCCAAUAUUCAAUGGAGGGCCAAAGGUGGAUGAAGUGGCUUCAAUAUGGGUUAACCAUGCUGGUGUAAAAGCUAAUAUCCCUGAGAUAAUUUUACUGGUUAUCUUACACUAGUAUUCUUGAUUUUACCGUCGCGCCUUGCAAAUUGUGGCGGUUAAAACCGUCGUAACUUGCCGUCGCAAUUUGCCAAUUUUCUUGUAGUGAAUAUUUAAUAAAUUAAAGAGUUUAAAGGUAGUCCACUGACAAUGUAAACUAAGUUUAGACAUACAACCAAUCAAAAUUCUUACACUUGCCAUGUUA